AACGAACGCUGGCGGCAUGCCUAACACAUGCAAGUCGAACGAGACCUUCGGGUCUAGUGGCGCACGGGUGCGUAACGCGUGGGAAUCUGCCCUCAGGUUCGGGAUAACUCAGGGAAACUUGAGCUAAUACCGGAUGAUGUCUUCGGACCAAAGAUUUAUCGCCUAAGGAUGAGCCCGCGUCGGAUUAGCUUGUUGGUGAGGUAAAAGCUCACCAAGGCGACGAUCCGUAGCUGGUCUGAGAGGAUGAUCAGCCACACUGGGACUGAGACACGGCCCAGACUCCUACGGGAGGCAGCAGUGGGGAAUAUUGGACAAUGGGCGCAAGCCUGAUCCAGCAAUGCCGCGUGAGUGAUGAAGGCCUUAGGGUUGUAAAGCCCUUUUGCCCGGGAUGAUAAUGACAGUACCGGGAGAAUAAGCUCCGGCUAACUCCGUGCCAGCAGCCGCGGUAAUACGGAGGGAGCUAGCGUUGUUCGGAAUUACUGGGCGU
rnacentral:rRNA from 1 species